GACGAACGCUGGCGGCGUGCUUAACACAUGCAAGUCGAACGGAAAGGCCCUGCUUUUGUGGGGUGAUCGAGUGGCGAACGGGUGAGUAACACGUGAGUAACCUGCCCUUGACUUUGGGAUAACUUCAGGAAACUGGGGCUAAUACCGGAUAGGAGCUCCUGCUGCAUGGUGGGGGUUGGAAAGUUUCGGCGGGUGGGGAUGGACUCGCGGCUUAUCAGCUUGUUGGUGGGGUAGUGGCUUACCAAGGCUUUGACGGGUAGCCGGCCUGAGAGGGUGACCGGCCACAUUGGGACUGAGAUACGGCCCAGACUCCUACGUGAGGCAGCAGUGGGGAAUAUUGCACAAUGGGCGGAAGCCUGAUGCGGCAACGCCGCGUGCGGGAUGACGGCCUUCGGGUUGUAAACCGCUUUCGCCUGUGACGAAGCGUGAGUGACGGUAAUGGGUAAAGAAGCACCGGCUAACUACGUG
rnacentral:rRNA from 1 species